CUUAAAAUUGAAGAAAUGAGUAAAAAGGAUAAGAAAAUCUCAUCUAAAGUCUUCAAAUCUUCAAUUCCCAAGUGUAAGUGCAAGAACCCUAGAUUCAAUGCUUGUAUUUCAGUCAAGAAUGUCAAAUAUGUGCCAAAGAUGAGCUAGGUCGAGUUUUUGUGGGUUUGGGAUCAAGAAAAUAUGAAAUGGCAAAUUUGCCCAGAACUGAAGCAUGUUGGCCGCGUGCGAAGUCUUGUGAGAAAUUGGCAUUCCGCAGAAGCGGACUUUGAAACGCAGAAGCGCUUACGCAGAUACGGUCAACAAGCGCAGAGGCGACUCCGUAGAUGCGGAGGAACUUGCGCAGAUUUAGACAUUGGUACCAGUAGAGUCUCGAGAGGUGCUUAGCAAACACCUGACAGAUGAUUCGAGGUAGAGCUGCAUGCCGUUUGCAGGCCUUAGAGUCAUCUUUUCAUUUCUAAUGUACUGUUUCUAUUUUUCAGAUAGUAUUGUAUUUCUUUCAAGACAAUGUAUUUAGCAAACUCUAGUAGCUCAUGUACGUGUGACUCCACGUCUUGGGGUAGUUAAUCGUUACUGUUGAUAUUUAGCUUUUUAUGUAUGUUGUUGAGAUAUUUUUACUCUAUAUUAUCAUUUUGCUGUUAUCCGUUA